GACGAACCGUGCGAACGUUAUUCGGAAUCACUGGGCUUAAAGGGCGCGUAGGCGGGCUCGUAAGUCAGGGGUGAAAUCCCACGGCCCAACCGUGGAAGUGCCUCUGAUACUGCGGGCCUCGAGGGGGAUAGGGGCGUGCGGAACUCAGGGUGGAGCGGUGAAAUGCGUAGAUAUCCUGAGGGACACCGGUGGCGAAAGCGGCGCGCUGGAUCCCUUCUGACGCUGAGGCGCGAAAGCCAGGGGAGCAAACGGG
rnacentral:rRNA from 1 species